UCCGGUUUGUCACCGGCAGUCUCCGUAGAGUCCCAGCUUUACCUGCUGGCAACACGCCACGGGGGUUGCGCUCGUUGCGGGACUUAACCCAACAUCUCACGACACGAGCUGACGACAGCCAUGCAGCAUCUGUGGUGCACCCUCGAAGGUCACACGUUUCCGUGCGCUUGCAGCACCAUGUCAAGCCCAGGUAAGGUUCUUCGCGUUGCAUCGAAUUAAACCACAUGCUCCGCUGCUUGUGCGGGUCCCCGUCAAUUCCUUUGAGUUUUAGCCUUGCGGCCGUACUCCCCAGGCGGUCAACUUAAUGCGUUAGCUGCGCCACUAAGAGCUCAAGGCUCCCAACGGCUAGUUGACAUCGUUUACGGCGUGGACUAC
rnacentral:misc_RNA from 1 species